UACGAAGGGGGCGAGCGUUGUUCGGAUUUACUGGGCUUAAAGGGCGCGCAGGCGGUCUUGCAAGUCAGGCGUGAAAGCCCCGGGCUUAACCUGGGAAUUGCGCUUGAUACUCUGAGACUGGAGUACGGGAGAGGAGAGUGGAAUUCCCAGUGUAGAGGUGAAAUUCGUAGAUAUUGGGAAGAACGCCAGUGGCGAAGGCGGCUCGCUGGACCGGAACUGACGCUGAGGCGCGAAAGCGUGGGGAGCAAACAGG
rnacentral:rRNA from 1 species